UAGAAAAACAUGAUUUGAAUACAGUAAAGCCUUGUUAAUUCAACCCCGUUAUAUUGGAAAAUCGGAUAAUUCAGACACGUCCUUUGGUCCCAGCAGGCGUAUGCAUCAUUUAAUGCAAUGCAACUCUAGUUAAUUAGAAUGUAUUUGGCCGCACAUUG
rnacentral:lncRNA from 1 species